CGGAGCGGGCGCUGUGUAGGGAGCCUUCACAGUGGCUGCUUUCACUGUUAAAAUCCCAGGGAAACGAGAAAUGAAAUUCUCCUUUAUCUCAGAGUAAUUCGUCUACAGAAGAAGACUUUCCCUGCUUUUAACUUUCAGGACUAACGUGAACAUUUUGGACAACCUCUAGCAUGAUACCGUGGUUUUCAACCAGAGCAGGUGACGGUAAAUCGCUAUUCCUAGGGCAUAUGGGUUACUGUCGUGCUGUUGACGCCGUGUCUGGAGCAGAGGAACUUCGGCAAAGUGUUUGCACCCAUUAGACAACUCAGUCAGACUCAACUCUGUGAUUCUGUGAAACAGAGAAAUAACACCCAGCUUGUUGCUGGAAGUUAUUUAUGUUGGCUAUCUGUACAAGAAUGCAAUACAAUUGUCUAUUUUUUCCUAAGGAUUUUAUUUAUUCGACAGAGAGAGAGACAGCCAGCGAGAGAGGGAACACAAGCAGGCGG